rnacentral:rRNA from 1 species
UACGUAGGGGGCAAGCGUUGUCCGGAUUCAUUGGGCGUAAAGAGCGUGUAGGCGGCCAGGUAGGUCGGUUGUGAAAACUGGAGGCUCAACCUUCAGAGGUCGACCGAAACCAUCUGGCUAGAGUCCGGGAGAGGAGAGUGGAAUUCCUGGUGUAGCGGUGAAAUGCGCAGAUAUCUGGAGGAACACCGGUGGCGAAGGCGGCAUUCUGGGACCGAUAUUGACGCUGAGGAGCGAAAGCCAGGGGAGCAAAGCGGG